AUGGCGUUAAAACCAGAAUUAGUAGCAGAAAGUCUAAAAUUAAAGAGAAAUGAAUUAAUAAUUCAUUGGUCAUUGAUAAUUCCACUGAACCCAUAUUACUUCUCUUCUGGACAGUGGCUAAAUUUGACCAAGUUUCUGUACGCUGUGUUUCUUUCUACAUUUAAAGCGCCUCCACCCCUGGGCACCCCAAGCCGCCACAAGAAGAGCCUGGGACUCCUCACAACCAAGUUCGUGUCGCUUCUGCAGAAGGCAAAGGACAGCGUGCUUGACCUCAAGCUGGCAGCUGACACUCUAGCUGUGGGCCAGCAGCGGCGGAUAUACGACAUUGCCAACAUCUUGGAAGGUAUUGGGCUAACCGAGAAAAAAUCCAAGAACAGUAUUCAGUGGAAGGCUGUGGGGCCUGGGAGAUCGCUGACAAGCUGAUUGAGCUCAAGGCAGAGAUCGAGGAGCUGCAACGGCGAGAGCAAGAAUUUAACCAGCACAAGGUGUGGGUGCAGCAGAGCAUCCGGAAUGUCACGGAAGAUGUGCAGAACAGCUGCUUGGCUUACGUGACACAUGAGGACAUCUACAGAUGCUUUGCUGGAGAUACCCUCUGGCCAUCCGGGCCCCAUUGGGCACCAGUCUGGAGGUGCCCAUCCCAGAGGGUCUCAAUGGGCAGAAGUACCAGAUUCACCUGAAGAGUGUGAGUGGUCCAAUUAAAGUGCUGCUGGUGAACAAGGAGGCAUGGAAUUCACCACCUGUUGCUGGGCCUGUGCCACCUGGAAGAUCUGCUCCAGAGCCCACCUGCUGUUUCUACCCUCCCCCUCUGCCCAAACCCAUCUUAGCGCAGCCCCAGGAAGCCUCACGCCCAAGCAGCACCCAGCUAACUGGUCCCACUCCUGUUCCUGGCAGCACUGAAGUCACAGGGGGGUCCAGUCUGGCAGCUGAGAUCACAGUGAGUGGUGGCCCUGGGACUGAAAGCAAGGACAGUGAUGAGCUCAGCUCACUCCCACUGGGCCCAACACCAGGCCACUGCAGUCUUCUGCUCUGCUAGACAGCAGCAGCAGCAGCAGUAGCAGCAGCAGCAGUUUAUCGGGACCCAACUCUUCUACCUCCUUUGAGCCCAUCAAGAUGGGCCCCACAAGCGUUCUGAACUCCCCAAAGAGCUGUCAGAAAUCUUUGAUCCUACAUGAGAGUGCAUGAGCUCAGACCUGCUGGAGGAGUUGAUGUCCUCAGAAGUGUUUGCCCCCCUCCUCUCUUUCUUCACCCCUGGAGACCACGAUUACGAUUACAUCUACAACCUGGAUGAAAGUGAAGGUGUCUGUGAUCUAUUUGACGUGACUGGUCUCCACCUCUGACUGAAAGAAACAUGCCCUGUGUGUCUGGGACCCAGACUAUCUAAGAUGGGGGCUGCCUGGGAACCUUCCCCACCCCACCCCACACAGCUUGAGAGUCACAUACUUCCAGCUUGCCCUACUGCACAGUUCUGGCCAUGCCUUCCUCUUC